ensembl:lncRNA
GGCAGAAUAGUGCCUGCCUGCCUGCCAGCCAGAAGGCUCCACCCACUUCUUUAGUAGAAGUGACAACAGGUGUGGUCGUGGAAACACCUGGACCUCAUCUCCUCGCCAAGGUGAGUAACAAAAGGAGAAACGGGGAAGAUGUGGAAGAGGAGGCUCAAGGAGAGGAGCUGUGUGGGUGCUCCCUUAGACCGCCAUGGUGGAGAAAUACGUCCCGCUGCUGUCCUCCUGAUCCAUGCAGUUACUGUGGCAAUGGUGACAGGAAUUAUGGUGGAGCAGGCAGAUGAAGUGACGGUGGGAUGGAGUGAUGAAGAAGAAGGAGAGAGGUGCCAAGAGAGGGAACCAUCUGACGGCAAAAGCUCCAACAAGCUGCCUAAUUGGGCACAAGAGGCAAAAAAGAACUUUGGUGGCGAAACACUUCAAAACACUUUCUAAUACCGUGUAAACACAUCCAGGAGGGGAGCAUACCAGCGUACGUGCUGCGGCCAGUGAUUCAUCAUCCUCCUGCAGCCGACGAGAUGAGACUCUGUCCGUCAGCUCCAUUGUGUCGGGAUAACACCCUGAUAAUUAUCUGCACGGCUGCUCUCCUCUUCUCUUCACGCCUCACGUCUGAGUGGGAAAGACAAAGAGCAAGUUUGUAAAAGGGCCUGAAAACUUAGUUAGGUGGUAAGGACGUGGAAAGAGAAGGCGACAGUCGGGGGGAGGGGGGGGGGGGGGUUAGGGGAGGGGCAGGCAGUCGAGCAGACAGAGGAAAAGAGAGGAAGGAGAAAUGAUGAUGAUGAGUGUGGAUAGGCAGGGCGAAUUGAAUCUUUUAAUCUCCCAAAGUGGGAAGAAAGCGACCCGAGGCAUUUGUGAUUGGAUUUACUUUAAGUCCACAAGUAGGUCAAUAGAGCUAGCGUUGCUCAUUAGCAAAGAGGGAGGAGAGGCGUUGGGAGGAGAGCAAGGAAAAAGUUUUGUGUCGAUACAGUGAGCAUCAUUCAUUCGCCCUUUUCUCCUCAGAAGGGGGGGGGUGAAGUUUGGCUGUGUGGCUUUUUGUUUUUGUCAGUCUGAAAAGGGUACUUGAGAAGAAGGCAGCAACUAUAAUAUAAGUCUUGCAAAAGGGCAUUUACAGUUAAUAUCAAUCAAGAUUCUGAUUUCUGAAACCGAGAGGCCUUGAUCAGCCAAAUGAAAGCGACCUGAGGUCAGCAAAGCAGAAAAUACAUGAGGCUGCAUUUGAAAUUCUCAAAAUGAGAAUGGCUGCGUGGCGUACGGAUGAAAGCAUCUGGUUUUGGCAUUUGGCUGGAUAAUAAAGUAUAAUAAUAGUAAUAAUAAGUGCUAAAAGCUUUGUGUAAUUCAUCUUUCCCAGAUUUCCUUCUGCACAAUUAGAUCCUGUUACUAAAGCAUAAUUAGCAACAGGAUGCCAAAGGCAAUUGGAGAGAGGAAGAAACAAGGUGGCAGAGCUGCGGGAAUCAAUGAGAAGAAACUAAAAGGUUAAGUUGAGUGGGGCAC